UACGUAGGGUGCAAGCGUUAAUCGGAAUUACUGGGCGUAAAGCGUGCGCAGGCGGAUUUGUAAGUCUGACGUGAAAUCCCCGGGCUCAACCUGGGAAUUGCGUUGGAGACUGCAAGGCUAGAAUCUGGCAGAGGGGGGUAGAAUUCCACGUGUAGCAGUGAAAUGCGUAGAGAUGUGGAGGAACACCGAUGGCGAAGGCAGCCCCCUGGGUCAAGAUUGACGCUCAUGCACGAAAGCGUGGGGAGCAAACAGG
rnacentral:rRNA from 1 species